rnacentral:rRNA from 1 species
AGUGAACGCUGGCGGUAGGCCUAACACAUGCAAGUCGAACGGCAGCACAGUAAGAGCUUGCUCUUACGGGUGGCGAGUGGCGGACGGGUGAGGAAUACAUCGGAAUCUACUUUUUCGUGGGGGAUAACGUAGGGAAACUUACGCUAAUACCGCAUACGACCUACGGGUGAAAGCAGGGGAUCUUCGGACCUUGCGCGAUUGGAUGAGCCGAUGUCGGAUUAGCUAGUUGGCGGGGUAAAGGCCCACCAAGGCGACGAUCCGUAGCUGGUCUGAGAGGAUGAUCAGCCACACUGGAACUGAGACACGGUCCAGACUACUACGGGAGGCAGCAGUGGGGAAUAUUGGACAAUGGGCGCAAGCCUGAUCCAGCCAUGCCGCGUGGGUGAAGAAGGCCUUCGGGUUGUAAAGCCCUUUUGUUGGGAAAGAAAAGCAGCAGGUUAAUACCCCGCUGUUCUGACGGUACCCAAAGAAUAAGCACCGGCUAACUUCGUG